UUCUCUCAUUUGGAACGGUUGGUUAGAAGUGCUCCGGGUCAAGCUCAGAUUUAAGGGGCUGCCUAGAGGUGAUGAAGGACGCCCCCUGCCACCUGCUACCUUUCUCAGCACCCCAAUCCCGACUACGGCUGAGAUUCCUAUGCCCAGGGCGGAUCUGCCGUCUUCACCUGGUUGUCCAUUGGAUUCAGAGGCAAGGUUUCCCUCCAAAAUCGGGAUGACAACGUGUAUCCACAUUUAGGGCGACAGACGCUAAAGGCAAGUGCAUCCGCAUUCAACUGGGAAAAGAUAGAAGAAAGAGGAAUAAAGUCCCAAAUAAAAGACGCAGACCAACAUGAAUGAAGCCAAAGUACGGUGACAGCAGCAUCGCCCCAGUGUUACCACAGCUGCCUCUGCUUGACAUCGUUUUGGUAGUUCCUAUUUAAGGCCACUGAGUUCGUGUGAACCCUCUGAGACCCCGUGGAGAAGACUUCAUCUACAAAUUGCAAGUUCAAGACCAGA